CAGGGCGGCUCGGGGACCUCGCCGCCGCUCCGAUCCCGCCUCAGCCCCGCCGGCAGAGACGGGGCGGGUGGCGGCCGCCUCUGGGGAGAGGGUUGUGUGACAGAGUUUUGUCUCCCCAGCUAAAGUCAGAACAUCAGCGUCAACUGCGAAUCGCUCGGCGCGGACUUCGCCUGUGCAGCUGAGGCCUCUGCUGCCCGAGGGACCGAGAGGGCAACUUCUCAAAGUGGAGUUUCUGGAAAACAGCAAAUUCAGACUCCACUGGGACAGUUUUGGGCCACAGAAAAAAAAGCAUUGGCUUCCUGUUUGCAGGAGACUCAAACUUCCGUGAAGGAACAGGAAAUAAAGGCGGGAAGCUGCUGUGUGUGUGGCAAAGCCGCCUGCGCUCCUCCCAGGCGCGUGCCCUGAGAUCCUGUCAAAAAGCCUUCUCCAGCCACCCUGAGGGCCCUAGGAGCAGCAGGUCGCCCCAGCUCCGCGCUCUUUCUGGCGGCCCUUGGGAGGCACCUACUUCGCCUCUCACCUGAAUCUCCCACCUCGGCCAUCUAGAGGGAUCUGUGGACAAAGCUGAGCCCAGCGACAGCCCUGGUCAGUCAGGCGGAACGGUCUAUGCAAAUCGGGGCCCGGGAACAGUGCCCCUUUGUCCUGGCCUUUCAAAGCCCGGCAGCUGGGGACUUGUGCCUUGGACCCUCGGCGCCCACAGCUAUGUCAUCAUGGCAGAACGUCAGAUGCUGAAAACUAUACGACCUGAAUUCAUGAGCAGCCUUCUUGGGAAGGUCCCCUUUCCGGUCCGCGUCAAAGCCCAGAGCCGCGUGCCGUCCCACCUGAUGCAGAUUGCAAGUUUCGGAGACAGCAAGCAGCCGUGAUAUCCAGCUCUGGGAAUGAGCAGAGCGUCCGGCCUCUGCCUGCUCCAGAGUGCCAGGGAGGGAAUGGAAGCUCCCUGGUGUUGGUGAUUGAACCCAAGGUCUUUUCAAUGAACUACAUCCUCAGUCCCUUUUUUUUUAUUUUGAGACAGUCUUGCCAAGUUGCCCAGGCUAAGUUUGAAGUUGUGAUCCUCCUGUCUCAGCCUCCUGGAGUGCCAGGAUUAUAGCCAACCACCACCAAGCUUGCCUGUUUGACAAACUGAGGAGCGAGGGUUCAGCGGGGCUGCAACCAAAUACUACUUUGUAGUUGCAACAUGGAAGGCUGGGAAACAAACAGGAAAGGCCGCACAGGGCGUGGCCGCGUGGCCGUUGGGUUGGGAGGGUGCUGGCGCAGCUCUGACUGUCGACGCCUUUGGGCCUCGGAGCGCAGCUCCUGGGGGUCUCUGGACCUUGGAGGGCGCUGCCCAAGGCCGCACCCCCGGAGACCAGAGUUUGGGCCGUGAGCACGUGGGGUAUCCAGGGCCUGAGUCGCCUGGAGGCAGAGGCUGUGCCAGCCUGGGUCUCCGACGUCGACCCAGCCUGUGGACCACGCCUGGGUUCAGCAGCCUGCGGAACUCGAGUGCCAGAGCGGCCAAGCGGUCCGGGUGGGUGGAGCUGUGGCCGAGGGGCCUUGUCCGUCCCUGCACACAGGUCCCAGGGCUGCUGACCUCCGCAUCGGCUUGGCCCUUCUGCUCUCACACACACUCACUCCCCAGCAUCGUCUCUGCAGAUGGUCUCAGGGUUGUGGCGUCGCACACUCUCUCACACUCUCCGUCCGCCCUCAGUCUCCACAGAGCCGGUGGGGGGAUGCUGGGUGGGUGGCACCCGACUCCCAGGGCAGGGAAGCCACAAAGCCGGCAGGGGCCCCUCGUGGAGGCCCCCACGUGUGCUUCUGAGCCCCAGGCUGCCUCUCCUGUGCAGCACGGUGGUGCCGGGUCCCUGACACACAGGCCACGACCUGCCCUCCGUGCUUCCUGGUCCUGUCGGCCCUGCUCAUGACUCUUCGUCGACCACCCUUGGACGCUGCCUGGACGUGCGCUGCCAGGAAGGUGGAUGCCAGCAGGGCUGUGAGCGCAGAGACUCACGAGUGUGACGUCCGCACCCACAUAAAGAUGCUGAUGGGAAAUGCGUGGGAAACCCAUUCCUCCCCGAGUGUUGGCUACAGUGUGUGUAUUUUGGGUGUAUUGG
ensembl:lncRNA